rnacentral:lncRNA from 1 species
GAGAAACCUUACAAAUGUGAUCAAUGUGGUAAAGCCUUUCCAUACAGUAGUACUCUCCAAGUACAU